AGAGAUGCAUUGGGUUUAAAGGGUGCGCAGGCGGUUUUGUAAGACAGAGGUGAAAUCCCCGGGCUCAACCUGGGAAUUGCCUUUGUGACUGCAAGGCUGGAGUGCGGCAGAGGGGGAUGGAAUUCCGCGUGUAGCAGUGAAAUGCGUAGAUAUGCGGAGGAACACCGAUGGCGAAGGCAAUCCCCUGGGCCUGCACUGACGCUCAUGCACGAAAGCGUGGGGAGCAAACA
rnacentral:rRNA from 1 species